rnacentral:lncRNA from 1 species
GGACCUCGUUUUCCACGCGCAGGGAUCCAUCGCGGGCGGCCGCAGGGCGGCAAAGAGCUGAGUGACUCUGAAGUGCUGAGAAGUUCCGAAUAGGUAGAUGAAAGACUAAAAGAUGCUGUUUAAGUUCCACCUUCCCCUGAAGAUGAUACUUUUUUUUUUUUUUUCUGCACAGCUAUUUCUUUUUCAAAGUGCUUGGCAAUCCUUAAGCAAUCAAUCUUACAGCCCAAGGAGAACGGUAUCAUUAUAGCUAUUUAGUGACUGGAGGAAUUAAGGCAUUGAGCACUCCAUUGCCUUGCCCAAGGCCAUUGAAAAAUUAAGAUUAGAGAACUAGAAUUAAAAGUCACAAGGGAAGACUUGGCUUCUCUGAGACAAUCGUGGGAAAGGAAAUUAUUUAUUCUGGAAAUUUAAAUAGUCAUCUUGGAAACUUCAGUGAAAUCAGAGAGCAAAAACAGCCUUUCUCCUCGUCCCCCAGCUCAACAAUAAUUUAGCAGUAAUUAUGAUAAUGAUUGCUAAAUGAUUUGUGUGCUGCUCAGGCUGGGAGUUCCCAGGGCUGAGCUCCCAUGUGGCCCCCCUCAGCUCCCGCUCUGUGAUUUACCUAGGGCCAUCCCAUGGCUGCACUGACUGCUCUGGACCAGCCACCCUGUGCAGCGCUGGUGUGGACAGCCCGGGAGUGACCUGCCCGGCUCCCUCACCGGGAAGUCCCUGAAAGGGAUGCACUUGGUGAUUUAUUGUUGGAUGGAAGUUUCUAUUAAACAACCCUUCCUUUCCCAGCCUAGCUCUCGGACUCACAUUUACCUCUGCUUUCUCUGAAGACGAAGUGGAAACCUCUGCCCAGCCUGGUUGGUAUAAGUGGGAGGAGUGGUCCCUGGAGGAGGAGAGACCUUGCUGCAAGGCCUGGGGACUUAGAAGAAUACAUCAGAAUUGUUAAAGUAAGACGUCUGUAUCACCAUUCGCGUGUUCAACACAAUGCUUGCAGAUGGCCCCAUCUUUCCUAUUCAGGGCAAUUUGGAGUGCAGCAAAUGUGCCACAAUUAAGAAAACUGAAAUGGAACAUAACUUCUUUAAUAUUCCUUUUUAGGCUAAGCAUCAAGCACAAGACAAGCAUCAUCAUGUGCCUGAUGGCGUGGAAGGCUCUGUGGACACAAGGGUGAGUCAGACACUUUUCAUCAGUGGGAGGAAAAUUAACAAAUACAUUCAGUAUAAUGGGCAAGCACCCCAGACAUCAUGAGAGCCUCGCUCUCAUGUGAGAUGCCGCAUGUGUCCAGGGAGUGCUUCCUCUUGGAGGAACUGAGUCUGGAAGGACAAGUGGGAGGUAGUCAGGCUAAGGAAAAAGGAAAGGAUAUCUUAAGAAAGAAUUAUUAUUCACCCCUCCUUUUUAAUUUUGAGGAUUCUUAAGGAAAA